GACGAACGCUGGCGGCGUGCUUAACACAUGCAAGUCGAACGGUGAUGCUCCAGCUUGCUGGAGUGGAUCAUUGGCGAACGGGUGAGUAACACGUGAGCAACCUGCCCCAGACUCUGGAAUAUGCGCUGGAAACGGCGUCUAAUACUGGAUACGAAACUGGCCCGCACGGGCAUGGUUUGGAAAGUAUUUCGGUUUUGGAUGGUCUCGCUGCCUAUCAGCUUGUUGGUGAGGUAAUUGCUCACCAAGGCGACGACGGGUAGCCGGCCUGAGAGGGCGACCGGCCACACUGGGACUGAGACACGGACCAGACUCCUACGGGAGGCAGCAGUGGGGAAUAUUGCACAAUGGGCGAAAGCCUGAUGCAGCGACGCCGCGUGAGGGAUGACGGCCUUCGGGUUGUAAACCUCUUUCAGCAGGGAAGAAGCGAAAGUGACGGUACCUGCAGAAGAAGCACCGGCUAACUACGUG
rnacentral:rRNA from 1 species